AGUUCUUCACUGAGGAAAUAAGAGGCUUUGGGGGCUCAGGCUCAGCUGAGAGACUGAAGAACCCAGCAUUGCAGUAUCUCCACCAUGGCCUGGGCUCCUCUGCUCCUCACCCUCCUCAGUCUCCUCACAGGGUCCCUCUCCCAGCCUGUGCUGACUCAGCCACCCUCUGCAUCAGCCUCCCUGGGAGCCUCGGUCACACUCACCUGCACCCUGGGCAGCGGCUACAGUAAUUAUGCGGUGGACUGGCACCAGCAGAGACCAGGAAAGGGCCCCCAGUUUGUGAUGCGAGUGGGUACAGGUGGGAUUGUGGGAUCCAAGGGGGAUGGCAUCCCUGAUCGCUUCUCAGGCUCGGGCUCAGGCCUGAAUCGGUACCUGACCAUCAAGAACAUCCAGGAAGAGGAUGAGAGUGACUACCACUGUGGGGUAAACCACGGCACUGGGAGCAACUUCGUGUAACCCACAGUGACACAGGCAGAGUGGAAGUGAGACAAAAACCUCCGAGCUGAUCUGCUCUGUCCACACUUCCUUCCCACUGGCCCGACUCACAGUUCAGAGGGCUGUCUCCUAACUCUGUAUUUAGUUUUCACCUUCCUAGACAUUUUGGAGUUCUAAUUCACAGCAUAUGAUUCCUGUGUGUAAAUACUUUCUACAGAACUUUUGAAACAUGGAAGUUUGCACAUGAACAUUUGGGGUUUUUUGCCACUCGCCUGCCCCCGAUGGGAUUUAAAUUUCCAGGUUGUAGAGCUCCUCACAGGUGCAUUUACAGGGAAAUCACUGUGACCAGCUCCCACUACCUUUGUCCAUAUUCCACAUUUGUGAGCUGCCUAUACAAUGAUGGGAACUGACAAUUUCCCUGGAGACACAAGGCCUUCACCCUGACUCACAGGGUCACGUAAUCAACAUGGACUUCAGCCGUCUCCAAUCACCUCCAUGUGCACAGAGUUCUCAUGGUGCAUGUGCUUGGCUGUCCUAGAAGAGAGAAUUGACACACACCGAAGAUAGGAGAAUGUGAGCCUGCUCUGUAUCUGAGAUUCUGGGAGAGCCCCCCAUUGCCUUUACAGAAUGAAUCCCUUCACAUGCAGGGAGAGAGCUCUGGUGGAAUCACUCUGCAGUGCUUCCUGAUGACAAACACCUGGAUUGAGGUCACAUUUCACAGGUGAAGGGCAUAACCCUCCACAAGACUACCUCCACUACAGACUCCAGUUCCCAGGCUUUAAGCCUGAGGACCCUCGUAGACAACCAAGAUGGGCCUGUGACCAGGAGGAGCAAUGGGUAACUGUCCCAGGCCCUGCCUGGGGGCUCCUCACAGCUGGAUGAGACCCACUGGCCACAGGCUGGCAGAGGCCGAUCUGCUCCCCGUGCUCACUGAUGAGACUCAGCACCCUGGUGUUCUCAGGGUCCAGCAAAGCCUCUUGGGCAGGGUCCUGUGCCUGCUCCCAACAGUUGCUCCCUCGAGGACCCUCCUGGGCCCACACUCAGAGCAGCUCCUUCCUCAACCUCCUCUGUCCACACGUCCCCUCUCAGAUUCCUGAAUCAGUGAUCAGGCAGGGUCUCAUCUAGCCAGAAGGGAGGGAGUGGAUUUGCCUGAACAGUUUCUUAUUUUCCCUGGGGGCAGAAGGAAAAAUAGACAAGCCUGGGGAAGCCCAGCCCCACUGUGAGGUCCAGGGGCUGUGCCCACCGUGUCUUGUUGCCUGAACACCUCUCAUACCCAAUCCUUGGUCUAUGUUUAUAGACUCAAUGAAAAUACCUUCCUUUCUACUGUCUCUUAAUGCUAACAGAAUCAUUUUGUUCCCUAAGCACAAAUAGCCUUCCGGGUCUCUGGGUGGGAUGACAACUAGAGCAGAAGUCCAGCAUGUGCGGCCCCCUUCCUGGCCCAUACGUGGCCCUGCUCUUAGUCCAGUCUUUGCUGGUCACUCCCCGAACUCUGAAACGUCAGGGAAGUUGAGUUUCUCUUUCUCUUGAGAUUGUACUCUUGUGGAGCUCCUGAAUUCCCAGGUAUAGGGUGACCCCUCUGCAUUAAGGACAUGGCUGUCAGACUCAUCCCUGGUUUACUUCCUCAGGUUUAGGUCUCUGAGUUCUAAACAGUUUCCCUGUUUCUUUGGUUGAUAUUUUGGUUGAUAUUGCCCUUUGUUUCUUCAGGUUGAUAUUAUGUUGGGUAAUUACGUUGGUUGAUUACAUUGGGUAGAUAUAUUCUUGUAGAUAGAAACAUUAUAAACUCUUCCCCCAUUAAGCUCUAAAUAAAGAAACUUGUUUGGGUGCCAAUGUACCAAUGUUGGUAAAAAGUCUUGACCCUUUUUUUUUUUUUGCAGGA